ensembl:lncRNA
CGGGAUUCUCGAGUUACGACGGGGAAUUCAGGAUGCCUCUUGUGUUGGCCCAGGGAAGUCCAAUCUUCCAUUCGAGUUGCGAAGGAAAGCUGGGGAUUGCUCUCGAGUGACUGCAGGGCCAAUAGACCUCAUCUAGGCUUGUGUCCAGAAGCCAAUGUUCCUCUCCAGGGGCGAAAGGGAUCUCGGGGUUGCAUUCCAGACGCACCCGGGGAGACAGGCAUCCAUCUCGAGUGGAAGCAAAGAACCCCGCUCUGCUCUCGAGUCGCGACGGGUAUCUCUUGGAGCUCACUGGGUGGACUAAAGGGAGUCAAGCCUCCUGAGGCGUUUGGAGAGAGGUCGCGAGAUUGGUCUCUAGGCCAUGCAGGAGACGAAGGCCCUCAUCUCGCGAUGACGGGGGAGUCUUGGGGUUGUUCUCGAGCGGCGGCCCCAGUGUGCGCUUUCUCACGAGGUACGACGGCGAGGUCAGUGAGCCUCUCGUGGGGCGCCAGGGAAGUCGGGUCUCCAUGCGAGUGGCGAGGGCGAGCGCCUCAUUGCUCUCGAGCCAUGGUAGGGUGCCGGGGACCAGCCCCGGCUGAUCCAGGGUAUUCGAAGGAGAGACGGCGUAGGCGAAGAUCAGGAAACCACUGCUUAAUUAAAUGUUAAUUAAGGAUAUAAAGAGUAAUAGAAUGAGGAUAGCUCAGUGAGGAAAUUCAGUGGAGAAAAGAGGCUGAAUAAUUCAGCCAGAAGGUAAGAGAAAGAACGACAUGGUGAGACCAAGUUUCGGUGAACAAGGCCCGCACUUUAUUUUUCAAAGUAGUUUUUAUACCUUAAGUUAUGCAUAGAGGAUAAUGGGGGAAGGGGUCGAGUCUUGCAGCAAACCAGGCUUUCUUCCUGCAAACUUA